rnacentral:rRNA from 1 species
UACAUGGCAAGUCGAACGCUUCUUUCCUCCCGAGUGCUUGCACUCAAUUGGAAAGAGGAGUGGCGGACGGGUGAGUAACACGUGGGUAACCUACCCAUCAGAGGGGGAUAACACUUGGAAACAGGUGCUAAUACCGCAUAACAGUUUAUGCCGCAUGGCAUAAGAGUGAAAGGCGCUUUCGGGUGUCGCUGAUGGAUGGACCCGCGGUGCAUUAGCUAGUUGGUGAGGUAACGGCUCACCAAGGCCACGAUGCAUAGCCGACCUGAGAGGGUGAUCGGCCACACUGGGACUGAGACACGGCCCAGACUCCUACGGGAGGCAGCAGUAGGGAAUCUUCGGCAAUGGACGAAAGUCUGACCGAGCAACGCCGCGUGAGUGAAGAAGGUUUUCGGAUCGUAAAACUCUGUUGUUAGAGAAGAACAAGGACGUUAGUAACUGAACGUCCCCUGACGGUAUCUAACCAGAAAGCCACGGCUAACUACGUGCCAGCAGCCGCGGUAAUACGUAGGUGGCAAGCGUUGUCCGGAUUUAUUGGGCGUAAAGCGAGCGCAGGCGGUUUCUUAAGUCUGAUGUGAAAGCCCCCGGCUCAACCGGGGAGGGUCAUUGGAAACUGGGAGACUUGAGUGCAGAAGAGGAGAGUGGAAUUCCAUGUGUAGCGGUGAAAUGCGUAGAUAUAUGGAGGAACACCAGUGGCGAAGGCGGCUCUCUGGUCUGUAACUGACGCUGAGGCUCGAAAGCGUGGGGAGCAAACAGGAUUAGAUACCCUGGUAGUCCACGCCGUAGACGAUGAGUGCUAAGUGUUGGAGGGUUUCCGCCCUUCAGUGCUGCAGCAAACGCAUUAAGCACUCCGCCUGGGGAGUACGACCGCAAGGUUGAAACUCAAAGGAAUUGACGGGGGCCCGCACAAGCGGUGGAGCAUGUGGUUUAAUUCGAAGCAACGCGAAGAACCUUACCAGGUCUUGACAUCCUUUGACCACUCUAGAGAUAGAGCUUUCCCUUCGGGGACAAGUGACAGGUGGUGCAUGGUUGUCGUCAGCUCGUGUCGUGAGAUGUUGGGUUAAGUCCCGCAACGAGCGCAACCCUUAUUGUUAGUUGCCAUCAUUAGUUGGCACUCUACCGAGACUGCCGGUGACAACCGGAGGAAGGUGGGAUGACGUCAAUCAUCAGCCCCUUUGACCGGGGCACCCCGUGCUACAUGGGAAAUCAACAAUCCCUAGACCCGAGGUCUGCAAUCCUUAAACUUCCCCAUUCGAAUGGAGGGGCACUCCCCGCGGAAACCGAAUCCUGUAAUCCGGAAAACCCCCCGCGGAAAAAUUUCCGGGCUU